rnacentral:rRNA from 1 species
AGAGCGAACGCUGGCGGCAGGCCUAACACAUGCAAGUCGAGCGCCCGUAGCAAUACGGGAGCGGCAGACGGGAUAGUAACACGUGGGAACGCGCCCUUCGGUUCGGAAUAACUCAGGGAAACUUGAGCUAAUACCGAAUACGCCCUUACGGGGAAAGAUUUAUUGCCGAAGGAACGGCCCGCGUCCGAUUAGCUAGUUGGUGAGGUAAUGGCUCACCAAGGCUACGAUCGGUAGCUGGUCUGAGAGGAUGACCAGCAUCACUGGGACUGAGACACGGCCCAGACUCCUACGGGAGGCAGCAGUGGGGAAUAUUGGACAAUGGGCGCAAGCCUGAUCCAGCCAUGCCGCGUGGAUGAUGAGGGCCUUAGGGUUGUAAAGUCCUUUUAACGGGGAAGAUAAUGACGGUACCCGUAGAAUAAGCCCCGGCUAACUUCGUGCCAGCAGCCGC